rnacentral:rRNA from 1 species
GACGAACGCUGGCGGCGCGCCUAACACAUGCAAGUCGAGCGAUGAAAUUUUAACCGAUCUCUUCGGAGAGAAGAUAAAAUGGAUUAGCGGCGGACGGGUGAGUAACACGUGAGAAACCUGCCUUUCACAAGGGGAUAGCCUCGGGAAACCGGGAUUAAUACCCUAUGACACAUUUCCUUCGCAUGGAAGAAAUGUUAAAACUCCGGUGGUGAAAGAUGGUCUCGCGCCUGAUUAGCUAGUUGGUGGGGUAACGGCCCACCAAGGCCAUGAUCAGUAACCGGCCUGGGAGGGGGAACGGUCACAUUGGAACUGAGACACGGUCCAAACUCCUACGGGAGGCAGCAGUGGGGAAUAUUGCACAAUGGAGGAAACUCUGAUGCAGCGACGCCGCGUGAGCGAUGAAGGCUUUCGAGUCGUAAAGCUCUGUCCUAUGGGAAGAUAAUGACGGUACCAUAGGAGGAAGCCCCGGCUAACUACGUG